rnacentral:tRNA from 1 species
GCCCGGGUGGCGAAAUGGUAGACGCAGGGGAUUCAAAAUCCCCCGUAGAAAUACGUGUCGGUUCGAGUCCGACCCCGGGCACCA